AAACUGGAGAGUUUGAUCCUGGCUCAGAACGAACGCUGGCGGCGUGCUUAACACAUGCAAGUCGAACGCGAAAUUUUUCUUCGGAAAGAGAGUAGAGUGGCGCACGGGUGAGUAACGCGUAAGUUAUCUACCUCGGCAUCUGGAAUAACUCACCGAAAGGUGUGCUAAUACCGGAUACGUUGAGUAAUCAAGAAAGGUGGCCUCUGAAUAUGCUACUGUGCUGAGAUGAGCUUGCGUACCAUUAGCUAGUUGGUAGGGUAAUGGCCUACCAAGGCAACGAUGGUUAGCGGGUCUGAGAGGAUGAUCCGCCACACUGGAACUGAAACACGGACCAGACUCCUACGGGAGGCAGCAGUGAGGAAUAUUG
rnacentral:ncRNA from 1 species